rnacentral:rRNA from 1 species
GCGCGAAAACUUUACAAUGCUGGCAACAGCGAUAAGGGAACCUCGAGUGCCAGGUUACAAAUCUGGCUGUCGAGAUGCCUAAAAAGCAUUUCAUAGCAAGGGCCGGGCAAGACCGGUGCCAGCCGCCGCGGUAACACCGGCGGCUCGAGUGGUAACCGUUAUUAUUGGGUCUAAAGGGUCUGUAGCCGGCCGGAUAAGUCUCUUGAGAAAUCUGGCAGCUUAACUGUCAGUCGUUCAGGAGAUACUGUCUGGCUCGAGGCCGGGAGAGGUGAGAGGUACUUCAGGGGUAGGGGUGAAAUCUUGUAAUCCUUGAAGGACCACCAGUGGCGAAGGCGUCUCACCAGAACGGACCUGACGGCAAGGGACGAAAGCUAGGGGCACGAACC